rnacentral:rRNA from 1 species
GAAAGAGAGUUAAAAGUGCUUGAAAUCGCUGAAAGGGAAGCGAAUGGAACCACAUGCUUGCUGAGAUUGCUGCCAAUGCUUGUGAGCCCUGGUCAUUAAAGCGCAAGCUUCUUGUCUAGGAGUGAGCU